rnacentral:rRNA from 1 species
CCUACGGGAGGCAGCAGUGAGGAAUAUUGGUCAAUGGCCGUAAGGCUGAACCAGCCAAGUAGCGUGAGGGAAGACUGCCCUAUGGGUUGUAAACCUCUUUUAUGCGGGGAUAAAGGUGUCCACGUGUGGAUUUUUGCAGGUACCGCAUGAAUAAGGACCGGCUAAUUCCGUGCCAGCAGCCGCGGUAAUACGGAAGGUCCGGGCGUUAUCCGGAUUUAUUGGGUUUAAAGGGUGCGUAGGGGGACUGUUAAGUCAGCGGGAAAAGCACGGGGCUCAACCCAGGCGAGCCGUUGAAACUGGCUGUCUUGAGAUGUCGAGAGGUAUGCGGAAUGCGCAGUGUAGCGGUGAAAUGCUUAGAUAUUGCGCAGAACUCCGAUUGCGAAGGCAGCAUACCGGCGGCGAUCUGACGCUGAGGCACGAAAGCGUGGGUAUCGAACAGGAUUAGAUACCCCUGUAGUC